UACGAAGGGGGCUAGCGUUGCUCGGAAUCACUGGGCGUAAAGGGUGCGUAGGCGGGUCUUUAAGUCAGGGGUGAAAUCCUGGAGCUCAACUCCAGAACUGCCUUUGAUACUGAAGAUCUUGAGUUCGGGAGAGGUGAGUGGAACUGCGAGUGUAGAGGUGAAAUUCGUAGAUAUUCGCAAGAACACCAGCGGCGAAGGCGGCGCUCUGGGCCGGUACUGACACUGAGGAGCGAAAGCGUGGGGAGCAAACAGG
rnacentral:rRNA from 1 species